GGCUCAGGAUGAACGCUAGCGGCAGGCUUAACACAGUGCAAGUCGAGGGGCGAUCGGGGAUAGCAAUAUCCGCCGGCGACCGGCGAAAGGGUGCGUAACGCGUGAGCAACUUGCCCGUAUCAGGGGGAUAAGCGAUGGAAACGCCGUCUAAUACCCCAUAACAACGAGGGUGGCAUCACCCAUGUUUGAAAGCAUUUUGCGGAUACGGAUAGGCUCGCGAGACAUUAGCUAGUUGGCGGGUAACGCCCACCAAGGCGACGAUGUCUAGGGGUUCUGAGAGGAAGGUCCCCCACAUUGGAACUGAGACACGGUCCAAACUCCUACGGGAGGCAGCAGUGAGGAAUAUUGGUCAAUGGCCGGAAGGCUGAACCAGCCAUGCCGCGUGCAGGAAUAAGGCCCUAUGGGUCGUAAACUGCUUUUGUGGUGGAGCAAUAAGGGUUACGCGUAACCCGAUGAGAGUACAUCACGAAUAAGCAUCGGCUAACUCCGUGCC
rnacentral:rRNA from 1 species